rnacentral:rRNA from 1 species
CAGCCGCCACGGUAAUACAGAGGAUGCAAGCGUUAUCCGGAAUGAUUGGGCGUAAAGCGUGCGCAGGCGGUUGUGUAAGACAGGUGUGAAAUCCCCGGGCUUAACCUGGGAACUGCGCUUGUGACUGCACAGCUAGAGUAUGGCAGAGGGGGGUGGAAUUCCACGUGUAGCAGUGAAAUGCGUAGAGAUGUGGAGGAACACCGAUGGCGAAGGCAGCCCCCUGGGCCAAUACUGACGCUCAUGCACGAAAGCGUGGGGAGCAAACAGGAUUAGAUACCCCCGUAGUCCCUGUCUCUUAUAC